GGCUGGUUUGAUAGUAGUGGGCUAUCAGAACUUAUUAACAUUAGUGUCAUUGAAGUUGGUAUACAACAUCCCACUGCUAAAUUUGACUGGCUUGAA
rfam:Pan troglodytes isolate Yerkes chimp pedigree #C0471 (Clint) chromosome 2A, whole genome shotgun sequence.